CCCGAACCACCCCCUCUCCGGGCACUUUCUCUUGCAACCACAAGAAAUGAUACACUUGUCGCUUUACCUCCUCCCUUGACUCCAUUCAAGGGCCCAAGAAGUCUUUCCAGGUGCGGCAGAGAUUC